UGACUUCUCCAAGAGCUAAUUGGAGCCAGGAGUGAGCCAACCUUGAGUCCAAUCAGUGUGAUGAUAUUGGAUCUGUUGCUGUAAGCUGUCCUGCCCUAUACAGACAGAACACACACCAGCACUUUGGCACAUGCUAACAUUUUUGUUGACACAUCUACAAUACAAGGAAAACAUUAAACAUGAAUGGAGUACAUGGGAGGACACCACGGAGGAAGCCAUUGCUGUCCAAAAAAAAUAUUGCAGCACGUUUAAAGUUUGCAAAAGAGCACCUGGAUGUUCCACAGCACUACUGGCAAAGUAUUCUGUGGACAGAUGAAACCAAAACUGAGUUGUUUGUGAAUAAAACACACACAACACUAUGUGUGGAGAAAAAAAGGCACAGCACACCAACAUCAAAACCUCAUCCCCACUGUAAAACAUGGUGGUGGGAGCAUCAUGGUUUGGGGCUGCUUUGCUGUCUCAGGGCCUGGACGGAUUGUUGUCAUUGAUGGAAAAAUGAAUCCCAGAGUUUAUCAAGACAUUUUGCAGGAAAACAAUGAAAAUCAACUUUGUUGAUCCUAAUUAAAAAAACAAAAUCUAUCAGUUAUCAGACUCACUGUUCCAUCUCCAUCAGUUCUGCUGUAAUGAGCUCGAUCAGGACCUGGGAAGAAAACAAACAAGAAACAUUCAGACAGUUCAUGCAGCAAAACUUUUAAACACUUUUUCUGCACAUUUAACUUUUUUAUGCCUUAUUCUACACACUACAGCAGUGUGGUUGAUGGCAUGAGCGGAAACAAACUAUGAAAUUUAUGGAAUAUGCAGUGACUCUAACCAGUAUUUGUGUGUGUGUGUAGGUUUGAGAGUGUGUGUGU